rnacentral:rRNA from 1 species
GCCGGUUCGCCGCCCGUCGGUGUCUAACUGGCAUGCACGUGCGGACGUCCUGCCGGUGGCCCGAGCCGGCGGGGGUCUCGCACCCGUCGUCCGGGGAAGGCCUAUCAUACCCGUCGCGGUGCUCUUAACCGAGUGUCUCGAUGGGCCGGCACGUUUACUUUGAACAAAUUACAGUGCUUAAAGCAGGCAGCAUCCGCCUGAAUACCGAGUGCAUGGAAUAAUGGAAUAGGACCUCGGUUCUAUUUUGUUGGUUUUCGGAAUCCCCGAGGUAAUGAUCAAUAGGGACAGACGGGGGCAUUCGUAUUGCGACGUUGAAGGUGAAAUUCUUGGAUCGUCGCAGGACGGACCGAAGCGAAAGCAUUUGCCAAGAAUGUUUUCUCUGAUCAAGAACGAAAGUUAGAGGUUCGAAGGCUAUCACAUACCGCCCUAGUUCUAACCAUAAACAAUGCCAGCCAGCAAUCCGCCAAAUUUCCUCCGAUGACUCCGCGGGCGGCUUCCGGGAAACCAAACCUUUUGGGUUCCGGGGGAAGUAUGGUUGCAAAGCUGAAACUUAAAGGAAUUGACGGAAGGGCACCACCAGGAGUGGAGCCUGCGGCUUAAUUUGACUCAACACGGGAAACCUCACCAGGCCCGGACACCGGGAGGAUUGACAGAUUGAGAGCUCUUUCUUGAUUCGGUGGGUGGUGGUGCAUGGCCGUUCUUAGUUGGUGGAGCGAUUUGUCUGGUUAAUUCCGAUAACGAACGAGACUCUAGCCUGCUAACUAGUCGCUUCCGGUAUCCUUGUGCUACCGGCGACUCCUGAUCUUCUUAGAGGGACAGGCGGCUUCUAGCCGCACGAGAUUGAGCAAUAACAGGUCUGUGAUGCCCUUAGAUGUUCUGGGCCGCACGCGCGCUACACUGAAGGAAUCAGCGUGUCCUCCCUGGCCGAAAGGUCCGGGUAACCCGCUGAACCUCCUUCGUGCUAGGGAUUGGGGCUUGCAAUUGUUCCCCAUGAACGAGGAAUUCCCAGUAAGCGCGAGUCAUAAGCUCGCGUUGAUUACGUCCCUGCCCUUUGUACACACCGCCCGUCGCUACUACCGAUUGAAUGAUUUAGUGAGGUCUUCGGACCGGUGGGCGAGGGGGCUCGCCUCCUCGAUUCCACCGGGAAGAUGCCCAAACUUGAUCAUUUAGAGGAAGUAAAAGUCGUAACAAGGU